rnacentral:tRNA from 1 species
GGCCCGUUGGUCGAUAAGGCGUCAAGUUGCAGCCUUGAAGAUGUAAAUAAACAUUACACGGGUCU